rnacentral:snRNA from 12 species
UUGCUUGCCUGGAAGGGAUGACGCUUUUCUUCUUGGCCAUGAAUGACUUUGUGUAGUUAGAGGGUGAAGGCCUGUCCCUUGCACUGUGAGCAGGCUGACCCCUGCCAGAAUCUAUACAUGCCUCCAAAUGUGACAAUUUCAGCUACAUAAUUUAUGGUGAUGAGGGACUGCUCUCGGGCUUUCCCUCU